GAGUUUGAUCCUGGCUCAGAAUGAACGUUGGCGGCGUGGAUUAGGCAUGCAAGUCGAGCGAGAACCCAGCAAUGGGGGACAGCGGCGCAAGGGACAGUAAUGUGUAGAUUAUCUGCCCUCGGGUCCGGGAUAGCUGCGGGAAACUGCAGGUAAUACCGGAUAACAUCUCCGGAUCAAAGGUGUGAUUCCGCCCGAGGAUGAGUCUGCAUCCUAUUAGCUAGUUGGCAGGGUAAUGGCCUACCAAGGCUUUGAUGGGUAGCGGGUGUGAGAGCACGACCCGCGUCAUUGGGACUGAGACACUGCCCAGACACCUACGGGUGGCUGCAGUCGAGAAUCUUCGGCAAUGGGCGCAAGCCUGACCGAGCGACGCCGCGUGUGGGAUGAAGGCCUUCGGGUUGUAAACCACUGUCAGAGGGGAUGAAAUGCAGGUGGGUUCUCCCAUCUGUUUGACAUAGCCUCAGAGGAAGGACGGGCUAAGUUCGUGCCAGCAGCCGCGGUAAGACGAACCGUCCGAACGUUAUUCGGAAUCACCGGGCUUAAAGGGUGCGUAGGCGGCGCGGAAAGUUGGGUGUGAAAUCCCUCGGCUUAACCGAGGAACUGCGCCCAAAACUACCGUGCUUGAGGGAGAUAGAGGUGAGCGGAACUUAGGGUGGAGCGGUGAAAUGCGUUGAUAUCCUAAGGAACACCGGUGGCGAAAGCGGCUCACUGGAUCUCUUCUGACGCUGAGGCACGAAAGCUAGGGUAGCGAACGGGAUUAGAUACCCCGGUAGUCCUAGCCGUAAACGAUGAGCACUGGAUUGGAGGGUCCUCCAUAGCCUUCCGGUCGCAACGAAAGCGUUAAGUGCUC
rnacentral:rRNA from 1 species